rnacentral:lncRNA from 1 species
AUUGUUCCAUGGUGACACCGGUGUGGUGAAAUAGGAACUUUCUAGGAAUCUAAGAUUUGCUGAUUACGUGACCUCCACUAAGGCCAGAUAUUCAAAGAAACCAUCAGCCUUUAAGGAGUCUACAUUGUCAUGGGGCACCCAGGAUCAUGCCUAACAACAUUAUGCAAAAUGCCUGUGAGUGGCAAGCUAGAAUAAUGGAGAACAAGGCUAUUCCUUGAAGUUUUUCCUGGUUCUCUGUCUAAAUUUAGACAGUUCUUUGUGCUUCCAUAGCAUCAUCUACUUACCGCUAUCAUAAAAGUCAUCACCUUUGGAGUAUUGGUUCCUGUCUAUGCCACAACUCACCAUCCUUCCCAGCCCCCAACCCACUAACUAGGCAAUAAAAC